CUCCUAAAAGGUAACGGAGGCGCUCAAAGGUUCCCUCAGAAUGGUUGGAAAUCAUUCAUAGAGUGUAAAGGCAUAAGGGAGCUUGACUGCGAGACCUACAAGUCGAGCAGGGUCGAAAGACGGACUUAGUGAUCCGGUGGUUCCGCAUGGAAGGGCCAUCGCUCAACGGAUAAAAGCUACCCCGGGGAUAACAGGCUUAUCUCCCCCAAGAGUUCACAUCGACGGGGAGGUUUGGCACCUCGAUGUCGGCUCAUCGCAUCCUGGGGCUGUAGUCGGUCCCAAGGGUUGGGCUGUUCGCCCAUUAAAGCGGUACGCGAGCUGGGUUCAGAACGUCGUGAGACAGUUCGGUCCCUAUCCGUCGUGGGCGUAGGAAAUUUGAGAGGAGCUGUCCUUAGUACGAGAGGACCGGGAUGGACAUACCUCUGGUGUACCAGUUGUCGUGCCAACGGCAUAGCUGGGUAGCUAUGUGUGGACGGGAUAAGUGCUGAAAGCAUCUAAGCAUGAAGCCCCCCUCAAGAUGAGAUUUCCCAACUUCGGUUAUAAGAUCCCUCAAAGAUGAUGAGGUUAAUAGGUUCGAGGUGGAAGCAUGGUGACAUGUGGAGCUGACGAAUACUAAUCGAUCGAAGACUUAAUCAAAA
rnacentral:rRNA from 1 species